CUGAAAAAGUCAGAAACAAUAAUUGAGCAAAAGAAUAAUUAAGAUUAACAAGAUAAAUUAAAAUGGGAUUAGGUAAAACACAUGAAUUAAGCAAAUGAGGUGUGGGAAUUGAUGGAGGGUGUGGACAAGGAAAUUGCUUGGGCCUGAGCCCAAGCUCCAUAUCCAUAACCCGUGUUCAAUGGUUAAAGUCUUCAGAGAACCAAAAUCCGUUUCCAUGAGCGUUCAAGAAUCCCAUCUUCAUGUAUCCAAGCUAACGCACCACAACAUCAUCGAAAUGGUUCCAACAUUCAAAACGAAGUCUCGCUUCAAUAUAAAUUGCGUAUCCCAUUUUUGAAUCUCAUAUGAACAACGAGGGCAAGAACGAAGCUGUGAAUUCAUCGCCGAAAUCGAAACCAACAGAGGUUUCUUCUUGCGCGUUAAUGAAAGUAGACGAAGGGAGAAAUUUACCGAACUAUUUUGACGCGGUGGCUCCGGGUAAUCUUCUUCUUCACGCCUUCAAUUUGUUUGUAUUGCUUCUGUUGCGUGCCGCUGUGAAUCGUAGUCGUGGUUCUGAAUUUCGUCUGCUAUGCAUGUUGUUGUUUGAAGUUGAAGAUGAAGUUUUUUUCAUACUUGUGCGUUGAGAUGAACUGGUAUGCAUCGUCGACUUCUCGCCGAAGGCGAGGGUAAUGCACACAUGUGAUGGAUCGAUCGAACAAGGCAAACCAAGAUGACGUACUUUGGAAGAAACAUGUUCAAAACAACAUUAAAGAUGAAGGAUACGAAGAUUCAAUUAAAUGGAUGGUUUGAGUUGUAAUAUGCUUUGAUUGGAUUUGGAUUAUUGUAUUGAAAUGUCAUGUUUGGAAUGAAAUUGUUUGUAAUUUUGUUAUAAAUUGGAAUAUGUAUGUUUGGGAUUGAAGGUAGUAAUUUUUGUAUUUUUGGAUUGAAAUUAUGGUUUGAAAUUUGGACGCGGAAAUUGACUGUUUAUGUAAUUGGAAUCUUGAAUGAUAUAUGAAAUAUGUGUGGAAGUUUUGAA